rnacentral:rRNA from 1 species
GACGAACCGUGCGAACGUUGUUCGGAUUCACUGGGCGUAAAGGGCGCGUAGGCGGUUCCGAAAGUCGCCUGUGAAAUCCCCCGGCUCAACCGGGGAAGUGCGGGCCAAACUUCGGUCCUUGAGGCUGGGAGGGGAGACUGGAACUCUCGGUGGAGCGGUGAAAUGCGUAGAUAUCGAGAGGAACACCGGUGGCGAAGGCGAGUCUCUGGUCCAGCUCUGACGCUGAGGCGCGAAAGCGUGGGUAGCAAACAGG